rnacentral:rRNA from 1 species
UACGGAGGGUGCAAGCAUUGAUCGGAAUUACUGGGCGUAAAGGGCGCGUAGGCGGUUAGAUAAGUCAGAUGUGAAAUUUCGCAGCUCAACUGCGAAGCUGCAUUUGAAACUGUGUGACUGGAGGGUAGUUAGGGAAAACGAAAUUCCACAUGUAGCGGUGAAAUGCGUAGAUAUGUGGAGGAGCACCGGUGGUGAAGACGGUUUUCUGGAGUACACCUGACGCUGAGGCGCGAAAGCUAGGGGAGCAAACAGG